rnacentral:tRNA from 1 species
AGGGGUGUAGCUCAAUUGGUAGAGCGUCGGUCUCCAAAACCGAAGGCCGUAGGUUCGAGACCUACCACCCCUGCCA